GAUAAUGUGCCUGAAAUUUAAGGACCCCUUUGAUAGAGAGGACUACGUGAGUUUAAAUCUCACCAUUAUCU
rnacentral:tRNA from 1 species